GGUUUUUUGAAUUUAACUAAAAAAUCAGGCCUGCCCACUGAUAAAGGGCUGCAGUAUUUUGACUGUACAAAGGUAGCAUAAUCAUUAGUCUUUUAAUUAAGGACUGGUAUGAAAGGUUAGACGGGGAUAUGCUGUCUCGAUUAUAGAAAUAAAUUUUAUUUUUAAGGAAAAGAGCUUAAAUAUAUCAAGGGGACGAGAAGACCCUAUUAAAUUUGAUAUAAUAAGUUAUUUUUAAUUGUAUAAAAGAAAUAGGUGUAUAUUAGUUUUGCUGGGGCGGUGUGUUUAUAACUUUAUUAUAUUUUAAUUUAGUGGAUAGCGGGUUUUUGAUCCGAAAGGAUCGAUAUUAGAUAAAAUUACUAUAGGGAUAACAGCGUAAUAUUUUUUGAGAGUUCUUAUUGACAAGAAUGUUUGCGACCUCGAUGUUGGAUUAAGAAGUCUUAUUGGUGCAGUAGUUUUUGAAGAAGGUCUGUUCGACCUUUAAAUUCUU
rnacentral:rRNA from 1 species